UUUGGAUAACUGUGGUAAUCCUAGAGCUAAUACAUGCAAUCAAGUCCCGACCAGUUCCACUGGGAAGGACGCUUUUAUUAGAUCAAGACCAAUCGCCCGGCUUCGGUCGGGCGUUGCCUUGGUGACUCUAGGUAACACAUCAGAUCGCACGGUCUCGCACCGGCGACUCAUCCUUCAAAUGCCUGACUUAUCAACUGACGAUGGUAGACUCCAUGUCUACCAUGGUGAUAACGGGUAACGGGGAAUCAGGGUUCGAUUCCGGAGAGGGAGCCUGAGAAACGGCUACCACAUCCAAGGAAGGCAGCAGGCACGCAAAUUACCCACUCCCAGCACGGGGAGGUAGUGACAAAAAAUAACGAUACGGGACUCAUUAGAGGCCCCGUAAUCGGAAUGAGUACACUUUAAAUCCUUUAACAACGAUCCAUUGGAGGGCAAGUCUGGUGCCAGCAGCCGCGGUAAUUCCAGCUCCAAUAGCGUAUAUUAAAGUUGUUGCGGUUAAAAAGCUCGUAGUUGGUUCUGCGUGCCACGCUGUCGGUUCGCCGCCUGCCGGUGCUACUGGCAUGUCGUGGUAUGUCCUGUCGGUGGGUGUCCGGGGCCUCGUGCGGGCGACAGGAGGCCGGGCUUGCCCGUGUUCCUUCCUGAACGUCGGCGAGUUCACUCCGGCUCCCUACUAUCCUACCUAGGUGCUCUUCACCGAGUGUCGAGGUAGGCCGACACGUUUACUUUGAACAAAUCAGAGUGCUUAAAGCAGGCUGAAAAAUUCUGCCUGAAUGAUGGCGCAUGGAAUAAUAAAACAGGACCUUGGUUCUAUUUUGUUGGUUCUUAGGAACACAAGGUAAUGAUCAAUAAGGACAGGCGGGGGCAUUCGUAUUGCGCCGGGAAACCAAAGCUUUUGGGUUCCGGGGGAAGUAUGGUUGCAAAGCUGAAACUUAAAGGAAUUGACGGAAGGGCACCACCAGGAGUGGAGCCUGCGGCUUAAUUUGACUCAACACGGGAAACCUCACCAGGUCAGGACAUUGUAAGGAUUGACAGAUUGAUAGCUCUUUCUUGAUUCAGUGGGUAGUGGUGCAUGGCCGUUCUUAGUUGGUGGAUCGAUUUGUCUGGUUAAUUCCGAUAACGAACGAGACUCUAGCCUAUUAACUAGACGAUCCGAGAGCCUACGUCUCUCGCGAAGUUCACUCUUCUUAAGGGGACAGGCGGCUUAUAGUCGCACGAGAUUGAGCAAUAACAGGUCUGUGAUGCCCUUAGAUGUCCUGGGCCGCACGCGCGCUACAAUGAAAGAAUCAGCGUGUGUCUCCCAGCCCGAGAGGGCCGGGUAAUCCGCUGAACCUCUUUCGUGCUUGGGAUUGUAGCUUGCAAUUGUUCUUCAUGAACGAGGAAUUCCCAGUAAGCGCGAGUCAUAAGCUCGCGUUGAUUACGUCCCUGCCCUUUGUACACACCGCCCGUCGCUACUACCGAUUGAAUGAUUUAGUGAGGUCUUCGGACCGGCGGGAAAUCCCUAUCGCUUCUGCGGUAUCGACAAACGCUGGGAAGAUGACCAAACUUGAUCAUUUAGAGAAAGUAA
rnacentral:rRNA from 1 species